UGUAUGUAGCUCUGUAGUAGAGCAUUUGUCUAGUAUGCCAGAGGUACUGGGUUCAAAUCCCAGCACUGCAA
rnacentral:tRNA from 1 species